UGGGGAAUAUUGCACAAUGGAGGGAACUCUGAUGCAGCGACGCCGCGUGAACGAAGAAGGCUUUCGAGUCGUAAAGUUCUUUUAUAUGGGAAGAUAAUGACGGUACCAUAAGAAAAAGCCCCGGCUAACUACGUGCCAGCAGCCGCGGUAAUACGUAGGGGGCUAGCGUUGUCCGGAAUCACUGGGCGUAAAGGGUUCGCAGGCGGAAAUGCAAGUCAGGUGUAAAAGGCAGUAGCAUAACUACUGUAAGCAUUUGAAACUGCAUAUCUUGAAAACCGUAGGGGUAAGUCGAAUUUGUAAUGUAGCGGUGAAAUGCGUAGAUAUUAAAAAGGUUACCGGUUGCGAAGGCGACUUACUUGGCUCAAUCUAACGCUGAGGAACGAAAGCGUGGGUAGCAAACAGG
rnacentral:rRNA from 1 species